rnacentral:rRNA from 1 species
AUCAGUGGCCAUACCUCCUGCAGUUCAGAUGAGGUAAUCCUCCUCAAGAUAAGCUGGUUUUUAGCUUGGCCAGUACUUGGAUGGGAGACCAACUAGAGAAGUUGGGUUGCUGCUGGAU